CCUACACAUGCAAGUCGAGCGGUAGAGAAGGAGCUUGCUUCUUCUUGAGAGCGGCGGACGGGUGAGUAAUGCCUAGGAAUCUGCCUGGUAGUGGGGGACAACGUUUCGAAAGGAACGCUAAUACCGCAUACGUCCUACGGGAGAAAGUGGGGGAUCUUCGGACCUCACGCUAUCAGAUGAGCCUAGGUCGGAUUAGCUUGUAGGUGAGGUAAUGGCUCACCUAGGCAACGAUCCGUAACUGGUCUGAGAGGAUGAUCAGUCACACUGGAACUGAGACACGGUCCAGACUCCUACGGGAGGCAGCAGUGGGGAAUAUUGGACAAUGGGCGAAAGCCUGAUCCAGCCAUGCCGCGUGUGUGAAGAAGGUCUUCGGAUUGUAAAGCACUUUAAGUUGGGAGGAAGGGUUGUAGCUUAAUACGCUGCAACUUUGACGUUACCAACAGAAUAAGCACCGGCUAACUCUGUGCCAGCAGCCGCGGUAAUACAGAGGGUGCAAGCGUUAAUCGGAAUUACUGGGCGUAAAGCGCGCGUAGGCGGCUUGAUAAGAUGGGUGUGAAAUCCCCGGGCUUAACCUGGGAACUGCAUCCAUAACUGUCUGGCUAGAGUGCAGUAGAGGGUGGUGGAAUUUCCUGUGUAGCGGUGAAAUGCGUAGAUAUAGGAAGGAACACCAGUGGCGAAGGCGACCACCUGGACUGACACUGACGCUGAGGUGCGAAAGGCGUGGGGAGCACACAGGAUUAGAUACCCUG
rnacentral:rRNA from 1 species